UACGAAGGGGGCUAGCGUUGCUCGGAAUCACUGGGCGUAAAGGGUGCGUAGGCGGGUCUUUUAGUCCGGGGUGAAAUCCUGGAGCUCAACUCCAGAACUGCCUUUGAUACUGAGGAUCUUGAGUUCGGGAGAGGUGAGUGGAACUGCGAGUGUAGAGGUGAAAUUCGUAGAUAUUCGCAAGAACACCAGUGGCGAAGGCGGCUCACUGGCCCGAUACUGACGCUGAGGCACGAAAGCGUGGGGAGCAAACAGG
rnacentral:rRNA from 1 species